UACGUAGGGGCCAAGCGUUGUCCGGAUUUAUUGGGCGUAAAGAGCUCGUAGGUGGUUCGGCAAGUCAGUUGUGAAAUCUCCGCGCUCAACGCGGAGGGGUCAGCUGAAACUGCUGUGACUUGAGUCUGGUAGGGGAGUGUGGAAUUCCCGGUGUAGCGGUGAAAUGCGCAGAUAUCGGGAGGAACACCAGUGGCGAAGGCGGCACUCUGGGCCAGUACUGACACUGAGGAGCGAAAGCGUGGGGAGCGAACAGGAUUAGAUACCCUGGUAGUCCACGCCGUAAACGUUGGGCACUAGGUGUGGGGACCUAUCGACGGUUUCCGUGCCGUAGCUAACGCAUUAAGUGCCCCGCCUGGGGAGUACGGCCGCAAGGCUAAA
rnacentral:rRNA from 1 species